AACGCUGGCGGCGUGCCUAAUACAUGCAAGUCGAGCGGACAGAUGGGAGCUUGCUCCCUGAUGUUAGCGGCGGACGGGUGAGUAACACGUGGGUAACCUGCCUGUAAGACUGGGAUAACUCCGGGAAACCGGGGCUAAUACCGGAUGGUUGUUUGAACCGCAUGGUUCAAACAUAAAAGGUGGCUUCGGCUACCACUUACAGAUGGACCCGCGGCGCAUUAGCUAGUUGGUGAGGUAAUGGCUCACCAAGGCAACGAUGCGUAGCCGACCUGAGAGGGUGAUCGGCCACACUGGGACUGAGACACGGCCCAGACUCCUACGGGAGGCAGCAGUAGGGAAUCUUCCGCAAUGGACGAAAGUCUGACGGAGCAACGCCGCGUGAGUGAUGAAGGUUUUCGGAUCGUAAAGCUCUGUUGUUAGGGAAGAACAAGUACCGUUCGAAUAGGGCGGUACCUUGACGGUACCUAACCAGAAAGCCACGGCUAACUACGUGCCAGCAGCCGCGGUAAUACGUAGGUGGCAAGCGUUGUCCGGAAUUAUUGGGCGUAAAGGGCUCGCAGCGGUUUCUUAAUCUGAUGUGAAA
rnacentral:rRNA from 1 species